CCUACGGGUGGCAGCAGUGAGGAAUAUUGGUCAAUGGACGAGAGUCUGAACCAGCCAAGUAGCGUGAAGGAUGACUGCCCUAUGGGUUGUAAACUUCUUUUAUAUGGGAAUAAAACGUUCCACGUGUGGGAUUUUGUAUGUACCAUAUGAAUAAGGAUCGGCUAACUCCGUGCCAGCAGCCGCGGUAAUACGGAGGAGCCGAGCGUUAUCCGGAUUUAUUGGGUUUAAAGGGAGCGUAGGUGGAUUGUUAAGUCAGUUGUGAAAGUUUGCGGCUCAACCGUAAAAUUGCAGUUGAAACUGGCAGUCUUGAGGACAGUAGAGGUGGGCGGAAUUCGUGGUGUAGCGGUGAAAUGCUUAGAUAUCACGAAGAACUCCGAUUGCGAAGGCAGUUCACUGGACUGCAACUGACACUGAGGCUCGAAAGUGUGGGUAUCAAACAGGAUUAGAUACCCCUGUAGUC
rnacentral:rRNA from 1 species